AGUAACGAUAAAGGGGGCGAGAAACCCCCUCACCGAAAGACUAAGGUUUCCUCAGCCAUGCUAAUCAGCUGAGGGUUAGUCGGGACCUAACGCGAACCCGAAAGGGGUAGUGGAUGGACAAUGGGUUAAUAUUCCCAUACUUGCUCACACUAAAAAGGGGACGGUUCAAUGUAGCUACUGGAGACUGACGGAAGUGUCAAGGCCUAGCCUUCGGGCGAAGCUGCUGUAGUGUAAUCGGAUCCAAGAAAAGCCGAAGUGAAGCAACCCGUACCAAAACCGACACAGGUGGUCGAGGAGAGAAUCCUAAGGUG
rnacentral:rRNA from 1 species